rnacentral:rRNA from 1 species
AUGCGGAAAGCUAAGAGAGGCGGUGAUCAUCUCACUAGAAGCUUUCCUAAGAGUAGAAAAGCUUCCAAGAAUGAAUCAUUGGUCUCAGGUCGCUUCCUUGGGGACUGUGAUCAAAGUGUUCGGUCCAGGCUUAGUGAUGGGCUAAUAUCAUAUUUGUCUAGAAGUGUCGCCUCUAUUACUUUGUGCAAUGGUGAGACAGUCUUAUUUUCAUGCUCAGGCAUAGCUAUGGAACGCCAGGGGCGCUACCAUACAAGGUUUCUGACUUCUGCAAGUUUGGUUAGAGCUCUCAAUGGUACGAAUAAAGACCAUGAUGACUUGAAGAUUGAAGUGCGCCAUGAAGGCAAUGAAGUUUAUAUGGGGGGGAUGGCUGAAUUUGAUUUAGAUCGCAACUUUGCUGUUGUCGAUGUGCAUGCGUUCCUUGAAAAUGUUCAGGUUGGAUCUUUCCAACCUGCACUAGAAAUUCUGCCCCAUGGUGAGCUAUUAGUAGUUAUAGGGCGUGGUGUCUCUGGUGAAAUAAUGGCCAAGAAUGUGGAAUUGGAUGGUGAUUCAAGGGUAUCUGAGGACGAUGAAGAUCUUGAUUGUAAAAUCUCAGAGACUUGGGAAGGUGGGCCACUUCUUUCUGUUGAUGGGAAGGUUGUUGGCAUGAACCUUUUUCUGACUACUAGAAGAGCCGUUUUCCUACCAUGGGGCACAAUUCUCAAGCAUCUGGAGCAUUACUGGAUAUCUCAGCAAAAGAAGACUGGUCUUGCACGGUUUGCAGGAAGACCCACAUGUGUGAAAUCUAACAGCCAUCCAGAAGUACAUGGAGAUUUACUCAACCAGGAGCAGUUAGAUCUAGACUCCAUGGGUUACCCUAAGUUACCAUCCUCCAUGUUAGGAGCUGGCAUGAUUUUAGUUGAUACUUUUGAAGAGACUUUUGGCGACAUACAUGGUGAAGGUGUCUGGAGAAAAUUUAGUAAAAGUGCUUCUAACAUAAAUCGCAAUGUUGUCGCACUGGCUUCAUUUAAUGGAGAAAAGAGGUAUUUUGCAUGCACGGGUUUUUUUUAUUGA